GGUGAACGCUGGCGGUGCGCCUAAUACAUGCAAGUCGAACGAGACCUUAGCGGAGUUUACUCAGCUAAGUGAAAGUGGCGGACGAGCGAGUAACACGUAAGAACCUGCCCCGUACUCAGGGAUAACUGGUCGAAAGAUCAGCUAAUACCGGAUGGUCCCGAAAGGGUAAAGAUUUAUCGGUACGGGAGGGGCUUGCGGCCUAUCAGUUUGUUGGUGAGGUAAAAGCUCACCAAGACUAUGACGGGUAGCUGAUGUGAGAGCAUGAUCAGCCGCGAUGGAACUGAGACACGGUCCAU
rnacentral:rRNA from 1 species